rnacentral:tRNA from 1 species
GGCGCUAUCGUCUAAUGGUUAGGACGGUUGGUUCUCAGCCAAUAAAUCAGGGUUCGAUUCCCUGUAGCGCUACCA